rnacentral:rRNA from 1 species
CACGAAUCAAGACGAGCUAAAUUUAAAUAAAUAUUAGUUUUGAGAAUGUUGCAUAAUUAUUAAAAAAUUAAGUUUAGGGGUGAUAGGCCUCUCAAGUCUUGUGAUAACUUGAAACUUAUGAGGGGUAUUUAGUACACAAAUAAUAAAGAAGCGCCAAGAUUUCUUUAAAAUAUUAAACAUCGAAUACCAAUUAAUUAUAAUAUAACUAUUAAAUUACUAAAUAAUAGAACAUUUUUUUGAGAAGUAUUAUUGAGUAUAAUAGGUGAUGUUUUUAACGCGUGAAACAUAAAUAAUGUUACUAUAAGUAAUUAAUAUAAGUAUUGAGUAUGAACUCGGCAAUAUUUUCUUCAACUGUUUAUCAAAAACAUAGCUGGUAGUUUAAAUUAUCAGUAUCUUCUGCUCCAUGAAUUUUAAAUAGCCGCAGUACCCUGACUGUGCUAAGGUAGCAUAAUCAAUUGGCUUGUAAUUUAAGUCUAGAAUGAAUGAAGACAUGGGGAAAAGCUAUAUUUCAAUAUUUAAUAAAUUUACUUAGUAAGUGAAAAUUCUUAUAGAAUAAUAAUAGACGAGAAGACCCUAGAAAUUUUAAGAAGUUGAAAUAAAGGGUUUUUGUUGGGGCAACAGCGUAACAUAUAAUCUACGUGUAAAACAAGCAAUUUGUUUGAAAGAUUAAAUUACUCUAGGGAUAACAGCGUAAUGUAGAAACGUUUGCGACCUCGAUGUUGGACUAGGAAUUAUAAGCUCAGAU